GGGAGGUAGUGACAAUAAAUAACAAGCCAGGGCCCUUCUGGGUCUUGGCAUUGGAAUGAGUACAAUGUAAACACCUUAACGAGGAACAAUUGGAGGACAAGUCUGGUGCCAGCACCCGCGGUAAUUCCAGCUCCAAUAGCGUAUAUUAAAGUUGUUGCAGUUAAAAAGCUCGUAGUUGAAUUUCGGGGUCAGUAGGUUGGUCGUGCCUAUGGUAUGUACUGGCUUUACUGAUUCCUCCUUCUUGAAGAACUGUAAUGUCAUUAAUUUGGUGUUGCAGGGAAACAGGACUGUUACCUUGAAAAAAUUAGAGUGUUUAAAGCAGGCUAACGCUUGAAUACAUUAGCAUGGAAUAAUGAAAUGGGACGUUCGAUCCUAUUUUGUUGGUUUCUAGGAUUGACGUAAUGAUUAAUAGGGAUAGUUGGG
rnacentral:rRNA from 1 species